UGGGGGAUAUUGCACAAUGGGCGAAAGCCUGAUGCAGCGACGCCGCGUGGGGGAUGAAGGCUUUCGGGUUGUAAACCUCUUUCGCUAUCGAACAAGGCCCGCUUAGGGUGGGGUGAGGGUAGGUGGAGAAGAAGCGCCGGCUAACUACGUGCCAGCAGCCGCGGUAAUAGGUAGGGCGCGAGCGUUGUCCGGAAUUAUUGGGCGUAAAGGGCUUGUAGGCGGCUUGUUGCGCCUGCUGUGAAAACGCGGGGCUUAACUUCGCGCGUGCAGUGGGUACGGGCAGGCUUGAGUGUGGUAGGGGUGACUGGAAUUCCAGGUGUAGCGGUGGAAUGCGCAGAUAUCUGGAGGAACACCGAUGGCGAAGGCAGGUCACUGGGUCAUUACUGACGCUGAGGAGCGAAAGCAUGGGUAGCGAACAGG
rnacentral:rRNA from 1 species